CUAGUCCUGAACUCCUGACCUCAGGUGGUCCACCUGCCUCAGCCUCCCAAAGUGCUGGGAUUACAAGCAUGAGCUGCCGUGCCCAGCCACUAACAUUGCCUUUAAACAUUCAGUAUUCCUUAGUCAGUAUUACUUCCUUCCUAUCUUUUGAAGAUAUACUUCCCAUUUUUAUGUUGAGGUUUUUAUCCUUCAUAUUUCCAACAUCUCUAAGGUUCCCUUGAACUCUGAAAUUCAGUGACUCAGAAGCCUUGGAUGAAAACUAAGAUUCUUUUUUUCCCCUAGCCCUUUAGCAACAUCUAGUGGGUAUUUAGAGACAGGACAAGACAAACUUUUUCCUACAUAAGGAUCAACCGUAUAGAUGGCAAAUUUGACUUAGCAAAAAAAAAAAAAAAAAUAGCCUUAAGUCUUCAAACAAAAUCUCUCCUGUGAUUAAGUAAUUUGCUACAUGCAUGGGUGUGUAUGUAAACACUUAAGAUAAGUCCAGCUGACAUUUCCUCAUUUAGCCUGCUGUAAACAUAGACAAGAGUUGUUACUACAUUAGUUGUUACUACAUUACAUCAUGUAGAACCUCAUGAAAUGUCUGAAGCAAGAGUACCAGUACAGUGUGUAAACCUCCAAAAGCCAAAAGGAAGAACUCGCGUAGAAUGGCAUCUUUCUGGAACAGAAGUCUCUAGGCAUAGAAGCAGAGAGUAACAGAGGAGAGAGAGCAGGAGGGGUGGGUUAGGGAGGGAGCACAAGAAAAGAAUAAAGCAAAAUCACUGGGAAAGAUAGAUUUAUAGAAUCCAGAGUUCUUAUCCUAAGAUAACUGCAGCCCAGUCAUUGCUCACUUAACCAAAAGUAGGUUUCUCUUCAUCCUUCAAGCCUGCUCCCCCAAAGAACUUUGCCAUCUUUCCCUUUGACUUGCUGCCUUACCUAUCUCAUCUCACUUUCACUGGAGGUUCUGGUCCUAGGUAGAUGACGGCUGAUAACUGAUGACUGAGAGAAAAGAAGCUCCUAACUUCUGUCUAUAGAAGUAAAUAAGGAAACUAUGACUGCAACCUCUCCUAUUCCCACCAAAACUUGAGUCCUAACAAAAGCAGCUCUUUUCCUAGAAAGCUGGUAACACAUUCCUAAAAUUAGUUUGCAUUCUGACCUUUACAACAUAGGUGGAGACUCUGUCAACAUUAUCCAGUUAUAAGAAGGGGAUGGCCUGAGAGUCAGACACCCUGGGCUCUUUAGCCUCAUUACUUUUUAACCCUAUUAUCAUAGACACUUUAUCUAAUCUCUCUGUGUCUCAAUUUCUCUAUCUACAAAUUAGAUAUGAUUAAUCAUAUCCUUGCAAUUUUCAUAGACAGUUCUCCAUGAUCAAUUAACAUUUAUGAAAAUGCUUUCCCCAUAGAAAAAAAUCCAUGAAGCCAAGGUAAUAGUAUCAGCAUUCUCAUGAACACCUAUGAAACAAGUACCUGUUUAUGGCUAUCAACAUAUGGUGCUGGGCUGAGCUCCACACAAGUUAGGUAAACCCAGUUUUGCAAUCUAGGACUAUGUUGUUCCAAUUUGGCUUAUGACAGGAGAACAUAGAACAUUGUGGAGGAAUUUUUGAGGCAGUAUGUUGGGGAGUCAGCAAAUGUGAGUUAGGGGAAAGGAGGACUUGUCCUAUCAGAUAUUAAAAUACAUUUUAAAGCUCUGUUGGUUAAAAUAUCAUGAUAUACUGGAUCAGGGAUAGACAGAUAGCUCACUGAAAGGUAAUGGGGACCCCAUAACAGAUCUAUACAUGUAUGAAAUGUAUGAAAAUGCUUGGCAAUGUAGAUCAAUAGGGAAAGGAGGAAAUAUUUAAGACACAAUGUUGGAACCAUUAGUUAUUUGUGUAUGAAAAAUUGAUUCUGGAUCCAUACCUCAAACUGCACACAAACUCAAUUCCAGAUGGAAUGAAAAAGCCAAAUUUUUUUUUUAAAUUUGGAAGAAAAUACAAAAUAUCUUUAUAUAAUCUCAAGAUAGAGAAGGAUUUCAUAAACAAGACACAAAAAACAAAAUUCAUGAAGAAAUGAUUGAUAAGCUUUGCUCCAUAGAAAUUAAGGAAACAUGUAAUUUUCUUGUAAAAUACAGCAUGACCCAUAUGCAGAAAAUCCUCAAAUUAGCCUCCUCAGCCUUUUAUAACUAAGCAGAAUAAAGAGGAAAGGGCUAAGGAGAAAGAAACACACAAGGACAAGAGGCAGGCUCUAGCUUUGGCUGCUUUACAAGCCCUCAGCCCCCUCCAGCUUGCUCUAAGGACACUCCUUCAGGUAAUUGCUACUGGUGCAGAAGGCCAGGCCAUUGAAAAGUAAACUGCCGUAAUAAAAUAAAUGGGAAAAAGCCCCACACCGUUUCCCCUCAAUCUGCCAGAAGCUUGGCCACUGGAAACAGGACUGCCCUGAGGGCUAAAGGGACUCUGGGACAGUAUCCCAAUCCUGAUGGUCUUGAGCUAAAGGGGCUCUCUGCUCCAGCUGGCUUUCAAAUCAGACACUGUCAUCAACAGGACAAAGCCAAAGGCACUCUGGAGAGGACAAAUGAAAUUAUAAAUUUCCCUUUUGAGUUCAAACACUGCCUACUCUGCACUAAUCUUCCCUGAGCAACUGUCCUCCAAAUCCUGCUGGGUGAUGAAGGCAAAUGGCAUCCCCUCCCUCCAAAAAGAAAAAAUUCACAUCCCUUUAUAUUACUUAAGGGACCAAUGGCCAUUCUCCCACCAGUUUCUGAUAACUAAAUACCUUACACCCUUUUAGGGCAAAAAUAUGCUUUCCAAGAUAGGUGCCUGCUUAAUAUUUACCCAACUUCUGAAUUCAUCUCUCCCUCUAAUAGCCCUGUUUCUCCUGGGAAAACUGCCUAAAUUUUUAACCAAUAAUUUCAACGUAAACAGCUCUACUUCAAGGGUUUAAAAUAGCCCACACUUAUUCAGACAACCCCUAAUAAAAACAUAACUGAAUAAUCUCUUGUGGGAAGAUAACUUCUACAGUAUGUAGAAAACCUCCUCAUUUGCUCCCCCUUCACAGAACUUGCUCAGCAACGUGCAGUACAAAUCUUAACUUCCUAACAAAAGGAAAAUGAUUUUUGUCUAAUUCAAAGGUUAUUUAAAGGUUAUAUAUAAAACAAGGUAAAAGGAACCAGGAAAUAAAAGAGACGUAAGUAAGGUUAUAAAGGCAAAGAGGUAUUUUCGAUAAGGAAGGUUAUAAAGUAAAGAAAUUUUAUAUGAGAAAAUAUAUUGUAUGGCAAAUUCUUGUCGAAAAAUAAAAUAAGUUUUUUUUAAAGAAAGAGGUGGGCAACCCCCUUUGGGUUCCCUCCCAUUUUAUGGAAGUUCUGUUUUCUCUCUAUUAAAUCUUGCAAUCGCGCACUCUUCUGGUCCAUGUUUGUUAUGAGCUGAGCUUUCGCUUGCCAUCCACCACCACUGUUUGCUGCCGUCACAGACCCACCGCUGACUUCCACCCCUCCAGAUCUGGCAGGGUGUCCGCUGCGCUCCUGAUCCAGCAAGGUGCCCAUUGCCGCCCCUGACUGGGCUAAAGGCUUGCCAUUGUUCCUGCAUGGCUAAGUGCCCCGGUUCUUCCUAAUCAGGCUGAACACUAGUCAAUGGGUUCCACGGUUCUCUUCUGUGACCCAUGGCUUCUAAGAGAGCUAUAACACUCACCGCAUGGCCCAAGAUUCCAUUCCUUGGAAUCCGUGAGGCCAAGAAUCCCAGGUCAGAGAACAAGACGCUUGCUGCCAUUUUGAGAGCAGCUGCCACCAUCUUGGGAGCUCUAAGAAAAAGGACCCCCCGCCUCGCCUGCUGCCACCGGUAACGUUUUGGCAACCACGAAGGGACCUCCAAAGUGUUUGUCUCUUCCAGAAUCGAAGCUGUAAAACUACAAAUUGUUCUUCAAAUGGGGCCCCAUAUGCAGUCCACGAUGAAGUUCUACCACGGACCCCUGGACCAGCCUGCUAGCCCAUGCUCCAAUGUUGAUGACAUCAAAGGCACCCCUCCUGAGGAUAUCUCAACUGCACAACCCCUACUGUGCCCCAAUUCAGCAGGAAACAGUUAGAG